UGGCCUAAUGGAUAAGGCGUCGGUUUCCGGAGCCGAAGAUUGUGGGUUCGAGUCCCACUCAGGAUG
rnacentral:tRNA from 1 species